UACGUAGGUGGCAAGCGUUGUCCGGAAUUACUGGGCGUAAAGCGCGCGUAGGCGGACCUGCAAGUCGGGGGGUGAAAGCCCGAGGCUCAACCUCGGAACUGCCUUCGAUACUGCGGGUCUCGGAGUCCGGGAGAGGUGAGUGGAAUUCCUAGUGUAGAGGUGAAAUUCGUAGAUAUUUAGGAAGAACACCAGUGGGCGAAAGGCGGC
rnacentral:rRNA from 1 species